UGCCUCUUGAACAAUAAUAAGAGGUACCUCCUGCCCAGUGAAAAAAUUUUAAACGGCCGCGGUAUCCUAACCGUGCAAAGGUAGCAUAAUCACUUGCCUAUUAAUUGUAGGCUAGAAUGAACGGAUAAACGAAAUAAGAACUGUCUCAACUGGUUUUAUAAAAUUUAUACUCUAGAUGAAGAUAUCUAGAUAAAGACGCAGGACAAGAAGACCCUAUAGAGCUUUAUUUUUAUACAAAAAUAAAUAUUUCAUAAUAAAAUUCGGUUGGGGCGACCAAGGAUACAAUAAUCAUCCUAUUAUUUAAAGACUUAUAAAUCUCUAACAAGACCCUUAUUCAAGAUCUUAAGAACAAGCUACCUUAGGGAUAACAGGCUAAUCUCACUUGAGAGUCCUUAUCUAUAGUGAGGGUUGGCACCUCGAUGUUGGCUUAGGAUAUCUAUAUGGCGCAAAAGUCAUAAAAUGAUGGUUUGUUCAACCAAUAACUUCCU
rnacentral:rRNA from 1 species